rnacentral:rRNA from 1 species
CCCUUAGAUGUCCUGGGCCGCACGCGCGCUACACUGAUGCAUUCAACGAGUUUUACCUUGGCCGAGAGGCCUGGGCAAUCUUUUAAACCUGCAUCGUGAUAGGGAUAGAUUAUUGCAAUUUUUAAUCUUGAACGAGGAAUUCCUAGUAAACGCAAAUCAUCAAUUUGCAUUGAUUACGUCCCUGUCCUUUGUACACACCGCCCGUCGCACCUACCGAUUGAAUGGUCCGGUGAAGCCUCGGGAUUGUGGCCAGUUCACUUUAUUGGGAGUUGGCUGUGAGAACUUGUCUAAACCUUAUCAUUUAGAGGAAGGUGAAGUCGUAACA